rnacentral:rRNA from 1 species
UACGAAAGGAGCAGGUGUUAUUCAGAUUAACUGGGCGUAAAGGGUGCGUAGGUGGCAAGGUAAGUUUGAUGUGAAAUCUCCGGGCUUAACCCGGAAAUGGCAUUGAAUACUAUCUAGCUAGAGGUUUGGAGGGGGGACUGGAAUUCUCGGUGUAGCAGUGAAAUGCGUAGAUAUCGAGAGGAACACCAGUGGCGAAGGCGAGUCCCUGGACAACACCUGACACUGAGGCACGAAAGCGUGGGGAGCAAACAGG